UUAACUCAGAUUUGUAUGGAGUUGGAAUGUUUGCCUACGUUUGCCGCUAGGGGCGCUGUUCCAACUGCAUACAAAUUUGUA
rnacentral:pre_miRNA from 1 species